UUUCUCCAUAACAAGCAAAUUGUGAUGAUAGAUUUGACUGCAAGGGAAUAUAUUACUUUUCUUUAUCCAGGAGAGUGAAUCAUGGUGCUUUCCUGAUUUCAAACAUGUAAACUUGGCGCAUCAUUGUAUAAACACCUGCAACAUCUACCUCUUUCCAACUUUUUAACAACGACUCAUUAGUUUGCAUAAUAUCAAUCUUGAUGUCUACAUUCUUACUGUGAACUUAAUCUCAGUGUGAGGACUUUAUUUGUUUGACCUAUUGCUCCUUUUGUUUAUCUGAGUUCCUCACAGGGUUAUAGAAAAACAUUCAAACAGCAAGUUUAGUAGCUACGAAUGUGACCACAAGAUGGCAGUGCUUCUCUGCUGAUGCGGAACACAUGGAGGGUUCGUUUUAGUGGAUACUGAAUAAAUAGGUUUAUGGCAGAAGCAGAGCCUUUUUCUAUUGGCUGAGUAGACAAUGUGAGAAACCGCUAUGAUUUUUAGAGGAAAGCAAGGAAAACCCGAUGAUAGAAGUAGCUUUUAUGGCUGGAGAUUGUAGGUUUAUGACUGAUCCUAUUCGGGAAGAACAAUGAUGGCAUGCAUUCGAGCUUCAUUUAUGUACUUGUGGCUGCAGCUGGACUGGGUGAGCAGAGGAGAGAGUGUGGGGCUGCAUCUUCCUACCGUGAGUGUUCAGGAGGGAGACAACUCUGUUAUCAACUGUACUUAUUCAGACAGUGCCUCAGACUACUUCCUUUGGUACAAGCAAGAAUCUGGAAAAGGUCCUCAAUCCAUUAUAGACAUCCGUUCAAAUAUGGCUAAGAGGCAAGGCCAAAGACUCACCGUUUUAUUGAAUAAGACAAUGAAACAUCUCUCUCUGCAAAUUGCAGCUACUGAACCUGGAGACUCAGCUGUCUACUUCUGUGCAGAGAAUACACAUUGCUUCCCAGGCACCUGUAACCAUCACCCAAACCUGAGAUGGGAGGUGAAGCAGCAUCUCCUUUCCUUUAGAAUAAAUUUUAAUUAUAACACUUAUCAUUUUGUUUGUUCAUAAGUGGAAACUAACAUAUAGAUAUUAAAACCAUAUAAUAAGAAGGUUAGAUUCAAGGAGACCCAGAAAGGUUUAGAGCAUUUUGUUGGACAGUUGAUGCUUAAUGGAUUCCGUUUUUCAAAAAAAAAGUAUGGUACACAUUUAAGUUAGCAACAUGAAGUUUUGAUAUACAUGUACAUGGUAAAGAGUCAGCUAAAGAAAUGCAUAGGGCAAGGUAUGGGAAAAAUGGCACUGAGCUUCCAUGCCUUCUCUGGCUAUGCCACCCACCAUGUGUUCAGCAAUCAGGAAGCCCUGCUCAAGGGAUCCUUACAGAGAUUUAGUGAUGUUUGAUUUUGUAAUCUAGUCUUUAAAUGUGACUUUACAUUUGCUAUUCAGACUCCUCUCCUAUAUAUAACCCCUUAGUAUCAAUAUUGUAAUCCCUAUUAUGGAUAAAUUAUAACUUAGUUUUCAAAAUUGCUUUUGUUAUCCUUUUCUUAUUGUAAAACAUUGCAUGCCAACACCAGAUAAUGUGUAAAAUACAAAAACACAAAAUUGAUAAUUCUGUAUCCAGAUAGUUUUUUGCUAAUAUUAGA